rnacentral:rRNA from 1 species
UACGGGAGGCAGCAGUGGGGAAUAUUGCACAAUGGGCGCAAGCCUGAUGCAGCCAUGCCGCGUGUAUGAAAAAGGCCUUCGGGUUGUAAAGUACUUUCAGUCGUGAGGAAGGUGUUAAGGUUAAUAACCUUAGCAAUUGACGUUAGCGACAGAAGAAGCACCGGCUAACUCCGUGCCAGCAGCCGCGGUAAUACGGAGGGUGCGAGCGUUAAUCGGAAUUACUGGGCGUAAAGGGCACGCAGGCGGUUAAUUAAGUUGGAUGUGAAUCCCCGGGCUUAACCUGGGAAUGGCAUUCAAGACUGGUUAGCUAGAGUCUUGUAGAGGGGGUAGAAUUCCAUGUGUAGCGGUGAAUGCGUAGAGAUGUGGAGGAAUCCGGUGGCGAAGGCGGCCCCUGGACAAAGACUGACGCUCAUGUGCGAAAGCGUGGGGAGCAAACGAGGAUUAGAUACC